AUGUUUACCCUAACCGGUAACAGAUGUUCUCCCUGUUAGAAUUUGUUAUCCCUUUACCCAGUAACCGGUAAUGGAUAAUAUAUUUAUGCUCCUCCUAUGUUGAAGAUUUUGUCUUCCCCCAAUCGAGUUUGAGUGCGCAUUUCCUCAGUGAAAUCGUUGUUUCCUGUUUGGUUCGAGUAUUUCAGCUUUGUUUUGAUCUACCCGUUUCCCCUACAGAUGUUCUUUUUAUUCCAUGGUUGAGUCUUUCCAGUGAUUUAUUUUCAUGG
rnacentral:lncRNA from 1 species